UAACACGUAGGGGGCAAGCGUUGUUCGGAAUUACUGGGCGUAAAGGGCAUGUAGGCGGUUUUGUAAGCCUGGCGUGAAAUUCUGCAGCUUAACUGUAGGACUGCGCUGGGAACUGCGAGACUGGAGUCACGGAGAGGGAGCCAGAAUUCCAGGUGUAGGGGUGAAAUCUGUAGAUAUCUGGAAGAAUACCAAUGGCGAAGGCAGGCUUCUGGCCGAUGACUGACGCUGAGGUGCGAAAGCGUGGGUAGCAAACAGGAUUAGAUACCCUGGUAGUCCACGCGGUAAACGAUGCACACUAGGUGCCGGGGCGGACGCUUCGGUGCCGGAGCCAACGUGGUAAGUGUGCCGCCUGGGGAGUAUGCUCGCAAGGGUGAAACUUAAAUGAAUUGACGG
rnacentral:rRNA from 1 species